rnacentral:rRNA from 1 species
UACGUAGGGAGCAAGCGUUGUCCGGAAUCAUUGGGCGUAAAGCGCGCGUAGGUGGCCUCAUAAGUCCGCUGUGAAAGUCAAAGGCUCAACCUUUGAAAGCCGGUGGAUACUGUGAGGCUAGAGUACGGAAGAGGCGAGUGGAAUUCCUGGUGUAGCGGUGAAAUGCGCAGAUAUCAGGAGGAACACCUAUGGCGAAGGCAGCUCGCUGGGACGUGACUGACGCUGAGACGCGAAAGCGUGGGGAGCAAACAGG